rnacentral:lncRNA from 10 species
CCAGAUAAGAAGUCUCUAGACUUCUGAUCUACAGGAACUUGGGCUUCAGUGCUCAACAUGCCAACAUGCUUGGAAAUUCUUCAAUACCAUGACCUCUAAAAGCCCAGCUAAUUUAGUGAAAAGAGAAACAAGGGUCCUGCAUACCAAUGAAACUGCUGACAUCAGCUGAUCUGAAUGACCCAACAAAAAGCUUACAUACACAAAGAAUGCAGUUUUCACAUCCUAAUCAUUUCAUUCUCCUUACCCUGACCAAUCAAUGAUCCCAAUUUGCCAGUCCCAUACCCUCCACAAUUUUCUUAAAAACCCCAGAUCAGUAUAUUCCUUGGGGAGAUGGAUUUUGGUGUUUUCUGCCAUCUCCUUGCUUGGCUGUCCUGUGAUCUUUAAACACUUUUUCUGCUGCAACCCUGCUGUCUCAGUGUACGGAUAUGUUACUGUGCAGAGGGCAUAUGAAGCUGUUGGUCCUAUAAUAUUAUGAUGGCAUUAGUGGCCUUAUAAGAAUUAGAAGAGAAGCCAGGCACAUUCGCACGCACCUGUAGUCCCAGCUACUCAGGAGGCUGAGGCAGGAGGAUUGCUUGAGCCCAGGAGUUUAAGGCUGCAGUGUGCUUUGAUCAUUUCUUUGAGUAGCCACUGUACUCUAGCCUGAGCAACAUAGCAAGAUCCCAUCUCUAUCAAAGCAGGAAUUGGAAGAGAGAGAGAGAUAUAAAUUUUUUCUCUGCCUAUGCACACUCAUAGGAAAAGUCAUGUGAGGACAUAGCAAGAAGGCAGCUACCUGAAAUCAAGGAAGAGAGUGCUCACAAGAAUCCAAUCAUGCUGGCAGCCUGAUCUUGACACUGUAGACUCAAGAACAGUAAAGAAAAUAAAUAUUUCUGUUAUUGAAGCCACUUGGUUUAUGGUGUUUUAUUA